rnacentral:rRNA from 1 species
GCGGUGGGAUGGGCGCAGCCUGAUCCAGCCAUGCCGCGUGAGUGAUGAAGGCCUUAGGGUUGUAAAGCUCUUUCGGCGGGGACGAUAAUGACGGUACCCGCAGAAGAAGCCCCGGCUAACUUCGUGCCAGCAGCCGCGGUAAUAACUC